UGGGGAAUAUUGGACAAUGGGGGGAACCCUGAUCCAGCCAUGCCGCGUGUGUGAAGAAGGCCUUAUGGUUGUAAAGCACUUUAAGCGAGGAGGAGGGUACUGGUAUUAAUACUACCAGGUACUGGACGUUACUCGCAGAAUAAGCACCGGCUAACUCUGUGCCAGCAGCCGCGGUAAUACAGAGGGUGCAAGCGUUAAUCGGAAUUACUGGGCGUAAAGCGCGCGUAGGUGGUUCGUUAAGUUGAAUGUGAAAGCCCCGGGCUCAACCGGGGAACUGCAUCCAAAACUGGCGAGCUAGAGUAGGGCAGAGGGUGGUGGAAUUUCCUGUGUAGCGGUGAAAUGCGUAGAUAUAGGAAGGAACACCAGUGGCGAAGGCGACCACCUGGGCUCAUACUGACACUGAGGUGCGAAAGCGUGGGGAGCAAACAGG
rnacentral:rRNA from 1 species